UACGUAGGGCGCAAGCGUUGUCCGGAUUUAUUGGGCGUAAAGAGCUCGUAGGCGGUUCGAUAAGUCGGACGUGAAAUCUCCACGCUCAACGUGGAGGGGCCGUUCGAUACUGUCGUGACUCGAGUCCGGUAGGGGAGUGUGGAAUUCCCGGUGUGGCGGUGAAAUGCGCAGAGAUCGGGAGGAACACCGGUGGCGAAGGCGGGUCUCUGGGCAGUAACUGACGGCUGAGGAGCGAAAGCG
rnacentral:rRNA from 1 species